GACGAACGCUGGCGGCGUGCUUAACACAUGCAAGUUGAACGAUGAAGCCGGAGCUUGCUCUGGUGAAUUAGUGGCGAACGGGUGAGUAACACGUGAGUAACCUGCCCUUGACUCUGGGAUAACUGCUAGAAAUGGUAGCUAAUACCGGAUACGACCCUCGGCGGCAUCGCCAGGGGGUGGAAAGAAUUUCGGUCAAGGAUGGACUCGCGGCCUAUCAGCUAGUUGGUGAGGUAACGGCGCACCAAGGCGACGACGGGUAGCCGGCCUGAGAGGGUGACCGGCCACACUGGGACUGAGACACGGCCCAGACUCCUACGGGAGGCAGCAGUGGGGAAUAUUGCACAAUGGGCGCAAGCCUGAUGCAGCAACGCCGCGUGAGGGAUGACGGCCUUCGGGUUGUAAACCUCUUUCAGCUAUGACGAAGCGCAAGUGACGGUAGUAGCAGAAGAAGGACCGGCCAACUACGUGCCAGCAGCCGCGGUAA
rnacentral:rRNA from 1 species